UGUGUCCUAAACUCACCAAGCCCUGCUCAGUGGUUUCAACUUGAUGACCGCUUAUCAAUAUAAUGGCAAGAUGUAGUCAUCAACACUGUUCUACAAGAUUUCCAGUGGACGAUAUUCGGCAAUGAGCCUGUGAUACCAUCAAGUCAUUGGUAGUACUCUGCCUUGGUCUUUUGAACAGAUCAGAAUACGUGAGCCAAACUGAUCAACAUGGCAGGUUCAGUUGUCUGUGUCACUUGGAGAACAGUGUAGGACCUCAUGGACUAAAGAGGUGUCAUCCUGGACAGCUGUCAUGAGAGUUUGUUAGCCAACCUGUAUCAAACCACACUGGAUAAUGAUGAUGCCUCUUUUGCCAUGGCAUGUCUUCACAGUUUCACCCUCUGACCUCGAUCACCAAACCCUGCUCACUGUCAAGAAAUGGUCAACCACCUUAUUGUGCAAGCUAUCCAGGAUAUUAUCCAGUGAUGAACCUUACCUGGAUUCAUAUCCAGGCUGCUGCGGACACAUUCUACCUUGAACAGUUGCAGAAUUGAAAAGCCAGGUUUCUGUGGGAUGCGGACUUUGUGUCCUGGACAGCUGUGGUUAUGGGAGCAGCCAACGUGAACCGAAAUCUCCUUGAAGUUGCCUCUUGACUAAUGGAUGGAUCAGGUGUGCAAUGCACAAGCCACAUGGUGAUGGACAACGUGGUUUCUAGGGUUUCCGUGCCACCAGGAUAUGGAUGAAGAAUGGAAUGACUGAGAUGUUGCAUCCUGGACAGCAGCGAUGGAGGUGGUCAGCCUGUGCCAAACCGUUCAUGACGUGAUGCCUCAUCGCUAUGGGAUGUCCACACACAUUCAGCCUGAAGAACCUGUGACCUGACCUCAUGUUGGAAUGACAUGUCACUGAACGACACAAAAUGUUAAAUACCAUUAUAUGAUUACUUGAAACACCUUAAGGCCUGAGACUCAUCCAAACCAGUGCAUCCCAUCUAACAGAUUAGCAACUAUACAGUACACCACUCUGUCAGCUGUUGGCCCAUUAGACCAUUGGCAAAGCAGACAACUUGAAAUGGUUGAUCCUAAUUUUCCCAAACUCUUCAAUAUGACUUUUUACAUGUCUAAAACAUGCUGGAGAUCUUCUCUCCUGCGUGGCCCUCGGACUUAGUUAAAUCACUUCAGUUUGGAGUCCAUGAGCAGAUUUCCUUAACACAACAGAGAACAAGGUCAGAGUCGACUCAUCACAUGGUAAGGCUUUAGUCCUUCCCCUUCUUCUCUGUGUGUAAGGGAAAUCUGACCAUGGACCCUUACUGGUUUGUGUGCUGUGGUUGUGCAGUUUCCAAAACUAGACAAGGAUCCAUCUAGUUUUGUGAAUCAGUUCACCAUGGUAUGCAAUUAUUAUCCUAAAUCAGCAUUUGCUGAUGAGGCUUUUUUUUUUGGUCAUGUAUAGCAACAUGACUACUUGUAGAUUGUGUUUGAAGCGUUUUGUCAAAUUGGGAUUAAGCAUUUAAAAUUGUCAGCUUCAUCUCUGGUCCAAUUACAACAGCAGAUGGUGCAACAUGUGAAAACACACACACACUUAUAACGGCGAACCCAAAAAUAAUACACUACUGCAAACCAAUAUCUGGUCUUUGACCCCACAUCUGCAAACUUGUUUUAAAUGCAUGAUACUAUUUUGUGAUAAAAUAAAUCAUUUAUUUUUUACAUA